rnacentral:tmRNA from 1 species
GGGGAUGCAAUGGUUUCGACAGGGGCAGUUGAAGCUUAGAUAGCGAGCCGGGGGGUCAUCAACCCGUUAGUAAGGUGAAAACAGCUUAAAUAUAAAAGCUAACAACGAUUACGCUUUAGCCGCUUAAGGCUAACCCCUGUCUGCUUAUCUCCCGCGUGAGCGGAUAAGGGGCCAAUAGCGGGAUACCUGAGGGCCAAUUCUCGGAGGCCUGAAAGGGAAAUCUCAUCGAGAUCGGAUGGAUGGCGGUUGUUUGUGUCUGCCUAAAUCUUAAAUCUAAACAUAAACUGCGCUCGGAGAAGUCUUGGUAACGACGUUCUUGGACAGGAGUUCGAUUCUCCUCAUCUCCACCA